rnacentral:lncRNA from 1 species
CUAAAUAGAAUAUAAAAAGGGCUGGGGACGGGGCUCAGGGGUUAAGUGACUCUGGGUUCAAUCCCUGGGACCAAAAAAAAAAAAAAAAUGGGUGACCAGUCAAACCCAGAUAAAGGAGUCUUUGCUUAGCCCUGGACUUCCUUCCUCAUAUCCUGAGAAAGGGAAGUGAUUCCUGUCCCCACUGAGCUCCAGAGAAGCUAACACACAGCCCUUAAUCUGGAGUCCCAGCCCUGAGUGUUUGGAUUUCUUCUUUUAUUAAGAAACAAUUCCCAUGACCUCAAAUUGGCCACCGUAAGACACACGUCUGUUGUCUUCAGCUUACUCACAACGCUGCGCAGCCAUCCCCUCUGACUGCAAGACACCAGAGUGAUGUCACCCAGAGUGAUGCCAUGUCUUGGGCCCCACCUUUCCCCUGUGCUCUGGGAACUUCCUCUUGACUGUGCGCUUCAGGGCAUCUGUCAGUUCUGAACGUUUCCUAGAAGUGGAAUCACACAGUAGGGGGUGUUUUUUUGAGGGGUCCCAGGGAUUGAAUCCAGGGGCCCCCGACCCCUGAGCCCCAUCCCAACUCUAUUCUGUAUUUUAUCGAGAGACAGGGUCUCACUGAGUUGCUCAGGGCCUCGCUUUUGCUGAGGCUGGCCUCCAACUUGGUAUCCUCCUGCCUUAGCCUCCUAAGCCGCUGGGAUUGUUGUCAAAAGCUGGGUCCUUGUUGCUGAUGCCAAUCCAAUAAUGAACACCCAUCCUGUGGGUGUCGAGUGGGAUCUCAGUGGGGUUAAGUUUUCAUUGUCUUCAUGACCAGUUCUGCUCAGCGUCUUUCCGCGGGCUCACAGCCGGCUCUAUGUGGUCUUCUCAUUUCUGUUCUAAAAAUUAGUGACCCGUGACAGCAGGUAAAUGGAGCAUGAUGUCUCAUUCCUCUGGGUGUCCAUGAUGUAGGCUCACAUUGGUCGUGUAGUCAUGUAGCCACAGAAGGUGACCAUGUCCAAUUCAUUCUGCUCUCCUUUCUACCCCCAGAUCCCCUCCCCUCCCUUCACUCCCCUCCACCUGACCCAGAGCACCUCUCUUCUUCCCUAAUGCCCCCACCUUAUUGUGAAUCAGCAACCACAUAUCAGAGGAAACAUUCACCCCUGUUUUUGGGGGGGAUUGGCUUAUUUUGCUUAGCAAGAUAGUCUCCAGGUCCAUCCAUUUUCCAGCAAAUGCCACCAUUUCAUUCUUCUUUAAGGCUGCCUAAUAUUCCACUGUGUAUCUGGACCACACUUUCUUUAUCUGUAGCUAGUCUUUGAAGAAAUAUCUCUUCAAAUCCUUUGCCCUUUUCUUUUCCAUUCCUCCCAAUUCUAUUCAAGGUGCUGGGGCCUGAGCCCAGGGCCUCACCUAAGCAGGCUCCACCACUUAGCUCUACCCCAGCCCCCUGCACUCACUGCCUGCUGUUACAAGAAUCAGGUUCCUGACAGAGGAGUGUGCUCAGGGAUCACAGGACAGAGACGAGAAGGAUGGCAGUGCAGGUGGUCACUCACACAGCCCGGGUGCAAGCCUGGGAUGCCCACUCCCAGAGUUGCCUGCCUUCACAGUGUCAUUGCGUUCUAGAUCUUGAAGUCACGCAUGCCACUUACAUAGUUUGUGUGUCCCAUAUUACAGCCUGUGUAUUCCACUCAUCAGUGAGUCAUGACAAUCUUUUUUUUGGGUACGUGGAUGGGAUCCUUGUGCUGCACAGUGUUUCCACACUCUGAUGUUGUCACAUUCCUGAUAAGACUGUCCUUAUUUUUAUUUUUUUAUUUUUUGGGGGAAGGGUACCAGGGAUUGAACUCAGGAGCCCUCGACCCCUGAGCCCCAUCCUCAGAACUUUUUAUAUUUUAUUUAGAGAUAGGGUCUUGCUGAGUUGCUUAGGGGCUUGUUAAGUCGCUGAGGCUGGCCUCCACCUUGCAAUCCUCCUGCCUCAGCCUCCUGAGCUGCUGGUGUGCUCCCGCCCUGGCCUCCUCCUAUGUUUACAGCUACUUUCUUCGGUCGUUUUUGAACAGCCCCUCCCUGUCACUUGGCUGCUGCUUCUAUUGAUAUAACCUUUUGACCACCCAAGAGGAAAGAGCCCUCCCAGCAGCCGCUCACGUCACCUGGCCUUCGGUCACACUGAGACCUCUGGAUUCACUGGAGUGUGCCAUUCCGUUUCAUGUUCAGGCUGAGGGCAGCAAGCACACUAGUAACCCAGAAAAAUGUUAGAAGUCUCUUUUCCUCUGCAUAUUAAAGCAAUCGUUUUUCACCAAUCGCCAUGGCAACUUUUGUUUUUAAAUCAUAGUGCUGGGACCAGGCGCGGUGGUGCAGCCUAUCAUCCCAGCUACUCUGGAGGCUGAAGCAGGAGGAU